UCGGGAAUAUUGCACAAUGGAGGAAACUCUGAUGCAGUGACGCCGCGUGCAGGACGAAGGUUUUCGGAUUGUAAACUGCUUUAGACAGGGAAGAAGAAAGACAGUACCUGUAGAAUAAGCUCCGGCUAACUACGUGCC
rnacentral:rRNA from 1 species